rnacentral:tRNA from 1 species
UNGGGUGUGGCUCAGUGGUAGAGCAUUUGCCUAGCAUGGGGAAGGCCCUGGGUUCCACCCCCAGCAUUUCAC